GGAAGGGAAGAUUUUUCAAGAGCUUUGGAACGAUCAAAGAAAAGAAAUGCUUCUGCACUCGGUACCCCAAAAGUGCCUAAUGUGAAAUGGGAAGAUGUUGGUAGACUCGAAGAAGUGAAGAAAUCGAUUUUGGAUACAGUUCAGUUGCCUCUCAUGCA